rnacentral:rRNA from 1 species
UCUCACGACACGAGCUGACGACAGCCAUGCACCACCUGUCUCUGCGCUCCCGAAGGCACCCCCCGAUUUCUCAGGGGUUCGCAGGAUGUCAAACCCUGGUAAGGUUCUUCGCGUUGCAUCGAAUUAAACCACAUACUCCACCGCUUGUGCGGGCCCCCGUCAAUUCCUUUGAGUUUCACACUUGCGUGCGUACUCCCCAGGCGGAACACUUAACGCGUUGGCUACGACACCGAGGGGGUCGAUUCCCCCGACACCUAGUGUUCAUCGUUUACGGCCAGGACUACAGGGGUAUCUAAUCCCUUUCGCUCCCCUGGCUUUCGUCCAUGAGCGUCAGUUAUGGCCCAGCAGAGCGCCUUCGCCACUGGUGUUCUUCCCGAUAUCUACGCAUUUCACCGCUACACCGGGAAUUCCCUCUGCCCCUACCACACUCAAGCCUUGUAGUUUCCAUCGCCGAAAUGGAGUUAAGCUCCACGCUUUAACGACAGACUUACAAGGCCGCCUGCGGACGCUUUACGCCCAAUAAUUCCGGAUAACGCUUGCCACUCCCGUAUUACCGCGGCUGCUGGCACGGAAUUAGCUGUGGCUUAUUCCUCAAGUACCGUCAGGUCUUCUUCCUUGAGAAAAGAGGUUUACAGCCCAGAGGCCUUCAUCCCUCACGCGGCGUUGCUCCGUCAGGCUUUCGCCCAUUGCGGAAAAUUCCCCA